rnacentral:siRNA from 1 species
UGGCAGUCUUCUGUACUUGACAGC